UAACUAGAUGGUAGGGUCGACCUCUUAUUCUAUUCGGGGAGCAGAUAGAACAUGAUUGGAGUUGUCAUGAUUAGUGAUUAACAUCUGUGUGUUGGGGCUCACAACACCCUAAUUGCUCCUAUCUGGU
rnacentral:snoRNA from 1 species